UACAAAGGGGGCUAGCGUUGCUCGGAAUCACUGGGCGUAAAGCGCACGUAGGCGGCUUGUUAAGUCAGGGGUGAAAUCCUGGAGCUCAACUCCAGAACUGCCUUUGAUACUGGCGAGCUUGAGUCCGGGAGAGGUGAGUGGAACUGCGAGUGUAGAGGUGAAAUUCGUAGAUAUUCGCAAGAACACCAGUGGCGAAGGCGGCUCACUGGCCCGGUACUGACGCUGAGGUGCGAAAGCGUGGGGAGCAAACAGG
rnacentral:rRNA from 1 species